CCUUACACAACCAUGGCAACAGUCAAGCAAACCAAUCAGUGCUCAGAAGGACUGCUUUCAAUAGGUGUGAAUCGACCAAUGCUAGAAGUCAGUGGGCCAGUGGCGCAAUGGAUAACGCGUCUGACUACGGAUCAGAAGAUUCUAGACAUUUUUGAAAAGAGAUGAACAUCUGCUGCUGACCCUCGCCAGUGGGUCCCCACUGCUUUCUCCUUUCCAUUCCAUACAAGUUUCUGCUCAGCCAACUACUGACCACAGCAGUGACCAGCGAGUUCCUUCAUGUUGAGAUGCAAAACAGGAAGGAUCUGAUAUCGUGCCCUCCUGCUUCUUCACCUGCAAGUCUAUUAAUAUCUCCUGUAUAAGCCGAUGAAUAACUUCAGACCUCAACCAAACUUUCCUCUGCAGUCGUAGCUCUCGUUGUGCCUUAAAAAAGGGGUCAGAAAAUCAUGAGCAUGAGAAAUCUGUGAAAGAGAUCAUUUUCAGGCAGUCUCCUCAUCACAGACAGGAUUACAGCAAAAUAGGUCACAAAUCUAUAGAUAAGAAAAGACCAAGCCAUUCACCGUGGGUGAUUGCGAGAGCUCAGCCUACACCCCUUCCUGCAAACUGACCUCUGGAUGGAUCAAAAGCAUGUUUAACAAUGUUUAACAAUCUCCAAAUGUAAAGCAUAUCUCCAAAUGCAGUUUCAAGCAGCUCAGGCAAGAUGGCUCCCCCUCGCACCAUAAUAAUGUGCUAAAAAUUAAGAAUUCAUAAACAAAACCUUAGAAAGCAAGAACACAUCUCCUUGUCUGUAUAUCGAUGACAACUAGACACAAGCUCUUGCUUUAGCUUCUCCACCAGGAACUUUAAAACUGAAAUAUUCCAGGAGGACUUGAUGCUGCGAUUAGAUAUUAGAGCAGAUAAAGAUAACAU